UUGGGGAAUUCAGGAUAGCUACUGCAGGUCCAGGGUUUAGGGAGGAUGGCUAGUCCUAAAGGCUGCUCUGACCUGCCUGGGCAGGAGUCUGGUGAAUUACAACAGGGGUCAGUAAACCAUACAGGCCAAAGGCUGGUCCUCUGCCUGUUUUUAUAAAUAAAGUUUUAUUGGAACACAGCCACGGCCAUGUGUUGGUGUAUCGUCUGUCUAUGUUCAUGCUGCAUUGGCAGUGAUGGAGACCAUAUAGCCAAAAAGUCAAAAACCUUUGGAACUUCCCUGGUGGUCCAGACGCUAAGAGUCUGAGCCUGGGUUCGAUCCCUGGUCAGGAACUAGAUCCCACAUGCUGCAGCCAAGAAAGGUCCUGAGGGCUGAAACUAAGACACGGCACAGCCAAUUGAAAUUAAUCAUUUUUUUUUAAGUCAAAAAUCUGUGCUCUUUGGCCCUUUACAAAAAAAAAAAAACCCAUUGGCCUCUGAAUUAGGGAAGGCCUCACCCUGCCCUGUGCAUGAUGAUCUCUGUUUGGGCUGCUAGAGGAGAUUCAUGUUUUGAGCAGGAGACUGUCUGAUGGAGGGGGUGUGUGGGUGUCUCUCCAAUCGGAUGGGCUGGACUUGUUCAGGGUGAGAGUGGGUCGAGGCCUCAGCGGUGCUGACUCAGGACCCGGGUCAUUUUUCACUCCUGCCCUCGGGCUGUCAUUGGCCACUGGGCAACUGCAGCCCCCGGCAGAGAACCACCGGUUCCCUUGGUCCACCAAGUCCUGGGCAGCUCAGGAGGAAAAGACAGAACUUGUUCCCAGCACAUGAAGAAUUUCCGGCCCCUUGCCCCAAAAUAACUGUGGCCGGAGCCUGGGGGCAGGAGGUAAAUUCCAGAAGGGUGAGAGCCGCUGUAACGUGAGCUCAGCUGUGACCUGCUGUACUCAGGGGCACCGGAUCUCCGCCAUCCCACCUCCCCCUCCUUGAGAGUCAUCCUGGGGACCCGCCCUCCCACCAUGGGAAAACGACAGUGGGUGUGGACACCCCCUGUUAGGAACAACAGCGGUCUCCUUAUUUGGUCCUUUUUCUUGCUCCUGACGUCUCCUGGGUUCUCCUCCAAGGACUGUGCCCCCAGCCGCUUUCCCAGACCUGGGAGGGGCUGUGAGCAAGGGAGGGCUUGUCCUGGGCAGACUCCAACCCCGUGGGGAAGUCUGCACCCCCACCCAUGUGCAAGGAGCUCUAGACAGCAAAUGAACAAGUGCAAAUGCACACAGCCCCAUUCCUCCUCGCCGCCUGGUAAAGGUGUGCCAGCCCACGCUGUGCCCUUGGGCACUGAAUACAGUUGGCCAAGGCUGGCCCCAGUGUCUGCUGAGCUAUCAGAAUGCCCAGAACCCCCAGCUGCAAGCUGGCUUCUUGGGAUGAUGGCCCCGGCGCCCAGCCCUCUUACUCCGGUGGGCUGCUGCCCUGGGGAUUGAUUUUUUUAAAAUGUGCUCUGUGCUGACUCCGCUCUGUUCUGUAGCAUCCUUCUCUCUGGCACCACGGCUCCUUCCUGCAAGCUGGUCUGGCCAGAGAGCGAGGGAGAAGCAUAUGUCUCAUACGUGGGGGCUUGGCGGGGGAAGGGAGGAGCCAGGCAACCACCUGGAGUCACGCCAUGCCUGUCUCCCACCUCCCCUGGAACCCAGGUCCCCAUCCCAGCCAAUUUCAUUGGCAUCCUCGGACUAAAAGCAUCCAUAGCUGGGCCCACAAGUGACCCACACACAGGCAUAGGAGAGCUUAACAGGGCUGGAAAUGUUUUGAAGACCCCAAAAUACAUUAUUGUAUUACCAUAUUUAGUUACUGUGAACCUUUACAAACUUUCUUUUUUCCAUCACAAAAAGGAAUUCAUACUUGUUAAAACAUUCGAAAUAAGAUCAGAGUUGGCUGAAGAUAAGACAUGUCCUCUGAGCCCUCUUCUCCACUGUCCCCAUGCCACACCCCACAGAAGCCAGUCUGGGCUGUAUCUGUCCAGAUAUUUUCUGUGCUUGCUCAUUGGAGCCUUGCCACAAUUCCAUGAGAUGGGCAGGUCUGAGAGCGAAGUUGCCAGUUCACCGGGGAGCAAUGUGGGGGCCCAGGUCUAGCAUCAAGAGCGGAGGGCCUGGGAGUGGAUUGGCUGAAGGACAGCAAGGUCUCCAGUUCCAGGACGGUCUCCAGUCCAGGUAGGCCGUGGGGAGAGGAUGGUCCCCACUUCUGGCUCUGGACGGACCAGCGGGAGCCGGCAGAAUCCACUUCCACUUCAACUCUGCUCUUAGCUUCCGUUUGAGUCACAGCUUUGUCUGUUCUAGAAACCAGGGAAUUGGAGGGCAGUGUGUGCAGACUUGACAAUCACAGAACAAGACCACACAGAUCCCCUCUCCACCUAUAGAAGAAAAGAUAUGACCUUUCAUCAAAGCUUAUUUGACCUUGAUGAAAAACAUGUUUGCAAGGGGUAAUACUAUGCAGGGUAAGUCAGAAAUGCUGUGCUGUCCCUGCAGGGGGUGUGGGUUCGUUCCCUAGCCAGGGAACUAAGAUUCCACAGGCCCUGCAGCAUGGACAAAGGAUUUUUUAAAAACUAGAAUGUAACAUACCAUGUGAACGUAAGACCUCCAUCACUUCAUGUUAUCCAGGAGCUAGUACUUGCCUCUCAAGCACUGGGGGUUAUUCCUUUCCAUUGUGGAGGCGGGGAGCACAUAUUCUAAAAACUGUAUUUUCUUUCUCAAUAUGUAAUAUAUUCACACAGUUCACAAGGUAAAAGUUAUAAAACAGUGUCUAAUGAAAAUGCUUGUUCCUAAAAAUACCAAUGAAACCAGUUUCUUGGGUAUCCAUCCAGAGAGAUUCUUCGGCACAUUCAACCAGACAAGCAGAUAUAUGGUUUUUUCUCAGCCUUUUUCACCUGAAUGGUAGCAUGC
ensembl:lncRNA